GGAGACUGGCAUGGCUGGUCUUACCUAUGCAGUGUGAGCAAAAAUACAACAGAAACAUGGCUCGUGCCCAACAGUAUUCCAGCUCAUACCAUCAAGACACUGCCACACUGUUGGCAGCUUGGAGGCGGCUGGGGGAUCUCCCCAGGGACAGAUACCUGAGGAGCACGCCUGCCAGGGGAGGAGGCGCCCUGUGAGUCUCACACAGGACAUGCUGGAAGAGGUGAAACUAGGCCCAGUGAGAGUCCAGUGGUCAGCAGGGUUGUGGAGGAGGAGAACAAGGCCACAGAGGCCUAGGGCAGAGAGGCUCUCUUGGUGCUGCAGGGGACAUGAGUCAGCAAACAUGUGCCCACACCCAGGGCGUCUCCAGCACCACGUGGCCCCCCCGUCGGCUGUGGGCCCUGGGGGAGGGGGUCUCACAAGCCCACCAGCUCCAACAAACACUCGGCUCUAAGGGGUGCUGCUUUGGAGGCUGGGCUCAGCUGGGGGACAGGGUAUUUUUAAGAACCUUUGGUUCAUGCCUCACAGCGAGCUGAGGAGCCUCUGCCGUCCCCUCCCUUCUGCAGUUCCCCUUCAGAGCCUCGCCCGGCACUACCGGUCCUGUGGCCGCCUGCCGCAGGGCCCCUCCCUCUGUCCUCCCUCUCCUUGGUGGGCUCCUCUCAAGUCAGCCUGCAGUGUCCCUAGGCCACCAUGCCUGUUCUCAACUGUCUGCUCUGAGUGCAGAAGGAUGGUGUCAAUGUCACACGGGGGAGGGGGAGGGCGCAGCCAGCCCUGGGCCUCCGCUCUCACAUCCCAGGACUCGCCAUUCUGUUUCCUGGCAGGCUCCUGGCUGCAUCUGUGCCACCCAGAAGACUUUCUCCCUGCCUCACGUUGCUGUCACCCAUGUGCUAUCCUGGCUCUGACACUCACCAGAAGCUUCCUAAGGGAGGUGUACCAUCUGGGAGCCACAGUUCCUUUCACAGUGGUGGAUACAGUGACCUUGACCGCAGACUGUGGACUGGAGAGGUCAAUGGUAACAGCAAAGCCACAGGAGUUGUCAGCCAGACAUUGCCUUGAACAUGAGUGUGCAGCCCAGAAAGGAGAACAGGAGGUGAGUGUGGCGUGCGGCUGCUCUGGACUUCCAGCCUUGCCACGUGCAAACACAGUGCUGGAGCAGGCGUGGCCUGUCGGCACUCCAGGACACCUGCUGGCACUGAGCAAGCAGUUGUCGGCACGUGUCACGGCCGCUUGAGGUCCUCUGAGCAAAGCAAGUCUCAUCUGCCGGCUGCGUCCCAGUGCCAUGCAGAAGCCAGGUAGUGGCACUCACUGGAUGUUUGCAGGACUGUCACUUCUGCUUCAUUUCAAGACCUAUGCCUCAUAAACUACCGGCCUUGCAGAGCUGCUUCAAGGGGUGCUGUUUCCUCUGCAAUGCCACCCAGCAUCAGGAACCAGGUAUCUAGGACAUAAGCAGCCAGGAUUGUCCCUCUCACUCCAAGGGCCAUGAGCCUGUACCCUCCCUGAGAACUGGAGACCAAGCCUGUCCACAAGUCAAUGGCUUGAUCUCUGCCACUGCAGUGUGUGGAGACACUGUCACCAUGUGAUAGCUCUAAGGUAUUUGCCACACAAUUGCGAUUGGCACAGCCUCAGUGCCCACAGGCCGCAUUAGCGCCUUGUUCAGCACAACACAACACACAGAUGCACCUCUUUGCACAAAUAGCUUUUACUUCAUUUAUCUAAAGAGGUUUAAAAUCCUUCUUCUCACUGAGCAAGACUAUUAGAGUUAUGUGAACUGUUCUCCUGGAUCUCGUUCACCCGACUUCUGCUAGAUGAUUCAUCACCUCAGUCUGAAAAGCCUGUAUGUUUUUUGUCAUUACAUCUAGUUUCAAAGGCUGCAAAGAAAACCACUCUGAUUUAUUAUCCAAAUCCUAAAACUUGGCAAGGAAAACACUGAGGCUCAGGGAAGUUCAAAUUGAAUAAUAUUUUUGCAGAAGAAAAUGCAGGAGAGAGACAGAGA
rnacentral:lncRNA from 1 species